rnacentral:lncRNA from 1 species
UAAUUUUGACUAGUUUUAUUAUUAACAAAUCAAAAAGAAAAAGCUAUCAUUUUUCUCUUCUCCUUCACCGAAAUAUGCAGCAAAGAAAUGGCUUUGAAGCUGGAAAAUUUCAGCAACAUAUUUCCCUUGCUUGUAAGUGAUUUUAAUGUCUUUGCUUGAUGAUUUUUACAUUUUUGGAACCCCUAAAGCAUGAGCUUUCAUAUGAGGGGUCUAUUUUGCAAAAUGAUGAAGAGUCUAGGGUUUUGCCAUGAGAGUAAAUGUGUUGUUUGCUCUGUUUUUAUGGAAGAUUAUGAGUCCUAGUUGUCUAAUAAACAACUUUUGUGAAAGAAAUUGCAUAAAAACACCUUAACAAGGGCUAGAUUGUUAAGUUGUAAAAUGAGUUGUAAAUGUGUGAAAUAGUUGAAAUUAUGAGUUGCUAUAGUUAUGAAAAUGGUUCAUCUAGACUCAAGGAGUAAAGAAAUGAGAUAAAAAUUAUUUUACGAGCCUAGGGGUAAUUUGGUAAUUUUGGCAAAAUAUAGGGGCAAAAUUGUAAAAAUUGCCCAAGUGUGUCAAUUGACUAAUUUGAUCAGUACAUUGUUUUAAUAAGUUGAAUGUGAUAUUUUAGAUGAUGAAAAUCGAGAUUUGGACCUAGAACGGAAAGAAAUCGAUUAAGGGAUAAUUACGUCUUUUUUUCACCUUUGUGGUAUCGAGGUAAGUUCAUGUGUAAAUAAUGUAGCAUAAUUGUUAUUUUUAAGUUAUUGAUGUUAAAUAUAUGAUAUACUGAUUUUUAUCAUGAAAUAUAUGCUUUGUGGUUAUUUUCGAAUAAAAUGCAAGUUAUGUGUAUUAUCUGUUAAAUACAAAGUGCUACCGAGUAUUAGUUUCGGUAUUUUACGGAAGAUGGCAAGGAGAUGUGUUCGAGGAAAAUCCCGUUUGAACCUUAGGAAUAGAUUAGGAUACAAGUGACAUGUCACUAGGAUGGUUGAGCAUCCGAACUUGUUGAGUUGAGUCCGAGUUCACUUAUGGAUGCGAAUGUUCGAACUCGUUGAGUUGAGUUCGAGUUCGUGAGAUGUAACUAGGCAUCCGAGCUCGUUGAGUUGAGUCCGAGUUAAUUUAUGGAUGCGAACGCCCGAGCUCGUUGAGUUGAGUCCGAGUUCACUUAUGGGCGGGUUACAUGGUAGCUUGGCUACAUAUGUGGCACUUAUGUGCAAACUUUCCAUGUAUUCGAAUUAUAUUCCGAUGUGUUCAACGGGUAAAAUUCUACUCAAAUGGAAGAAUACUCGAGAUGAAAGGGACGUAUUGAUAAAUGUUGUGAAAUGGAUACUUUGAACAGGUAUGAAAUGGAUACUUUGAACAGGUAUGUACUUAACCCUCGGGUUGAAAACUCGACAUAACAACAAAAUGGUAAGAUGGUAAAUGAAAAUGUGAUAUGAAUGUCUCGGUGAUGAUUAUACAAACGAUGUUGUAUUAAUUUUGUGAACAAUGAUCAUGAAUAAGUAAUUUAGCCUUGACAGAUUUAAGUUACUGCAGUAGUGUAACUUUGAAAAUACACUAAAAAUAAUGGAAAAUGAGUUAGAGUCAGAAUAAAAUAUGGGAUUAAAGCUUAAUGAGUCUAUUUUCAUAUGAAAGAAACAGAGGAAGAAAAAGAAUUCUAUAUUGUGUGAUAUUUAAAUUCUUGUGAAACAGGGUCUGAAUGAAUUCGAGAUCCCCUAUUCUGACUUUAUAAAUUCACCAUAAAUUGUAAAAAAAUUAUUAAGAGUCAUAUCUUACAUUCAUGGAUUUCUUAUUGAGUAUAUUUUUAAGGGAAAUAAACGGCAUGGUCUUUGUAAUUUUGUACAGGGAGAAAUUCGGUUUGUAGUGCACAGGGGUCAGAGUGGUCAUACCCUGAAACAGGGGAUACUUUAACUAAUAAACUGUACUAAUUGGCCCAACCAAAAAUUCUAUAAAAAAAUUAGUAAGUAGAAAUAUGAGUCUAUUUUCAAGAGAAAUAGACGAGAACAUUAUUCGAGUCUUGUACUAUGAGAUAAUUGAACUUUAGUACAGAAGGGUCGGAACUGUCAGACAGUGAAUCAGGGGUAACUUUGAGGAAUAAACUGUACUAUUUGGCUUAACCAAAAAUUCUGAAAAUUUUAUGGAAGAAAGGAAAAUAAGUCUAGUUUCAAGGAAAAUUAACGGAACUUAAUUCGGAGUUUCGUAGCUCCAGAUAUAAAUAAUUUAGUGACCAUUGCUCAGAAAGACAGCUUGUAGUGAACUUGAGAAUAUGUUGUAAAUAUUGAUAAAACAAGUUAAUGAGUGCUUAUUGUUUUCAUAUGAACUUACUAAGCGAAAGCUUACCCCCCUUCUUCUUUCCCAUGUUUUCUAGAGUUUCCAGGUUAGCUCGGGUUGGAGGCCGUCAGAGAUAUUAUCACAUUGUCAAGCUAACGCUAUUGGUGUAGUGAUUUCAAGUACUUUGAGCCUAUGGCAUGUAUAGGAGUUUAAAUAUUAGAGUAUGUGAUAUGCUUUAACCAUAUGUGUUGGCCUAUUUUGAUUAUGGGGUUGUAAAUCUAUUUUAAUUAUGCAUGCAUGUGCUAUGGUAUUAUGUGAUGAGUUUAUAAUGAUUAUAGUAUGAAUGUGGUAAAGAUGUGAGUAAAAUCUAUGAUAUCUAUUGCAUGUGAAAUUGCCAUAAUCAUGACAUGUUAGGAAUGUUUAAGUACCUAAUUUUGCCAUGUUGUAUGUUAUUGUAUAAGUAUGCGUGUAUCUAUUGUGAGUGUGACAAAAUGGCUUGGAAAAUAGCCUUGUAUUUGUCCAGGUUUUUGGACACGGGUUUGGGACACGGGCGUGUCCCUAGCACACGGGCGUGUGCUCUAUACCCACACGGGCAUAUGAAGCCUUGAUGCAAGAGAUUUUCUAAGUUUUUCAUGAGUUCUCGGUUGGGUCUCGAACCACUCCAGAUGUAUGUUUUGGGCCACGUAAGCCCGUAUAUGGGACAGAUUGUAUGUGAAAAUAAAAGUUUUUAAUUAUUUGAGAUUUCAUGGCCCUGUUUAGUAUGGAAGUGUUAGUAAAAGUCAGGUAGCACCUCGAACCCCGUCCCGGCAUC